AGCAGCGUGGCUCAGUGGAAAGAGCACGGGCUUGGGAUUCAGAGGUCGUGGGUUCGAAUCCCAGCUCUGCCA
rnacentral:tRNA from 1 species